rnacentral:misc_RNA from 1 species
GAUGAAGAACGCAGCGAAAUGCGAUAAGUAAUGUGAAUUGCAGAAUUCAGUGAAUCAUCGAAUCUUUGAACGAACAUUGCGCCCCCUGGUAUUCCGGGGGGCAUGCCUGUCCGAGCGUCAUUACAACCCUCAAGCUCAGCUUGGUGUUGGGCCCCGCCGUCCCGGCGGGCCCUAAAGUCAGUGGCGGUGCCGUCCGGCUCCGAGCGUAGUAAUUCUUCUCGCUCUGGAGGUCCGGUCGUGUGCUCGCCAGCAACCCCCAAUUUUUUCAGGUUGACCUCGGAUCAGGUAGGGAUACCCGCUGAACUUAAGCAUAUCAAUAAGCGGAGGA